AGAAUUACCAGAAUAGCCCUUUGCUGAUAUUAGUUUCACGUAAGAUUACAUAAGGACCAAGAAGUUAUUUUAUGCAAAGUGUUGAAGUAUGAUGCCGAAUAUAUUCUGUAAAAAUAACACUGACUUGUGUGAAAUACACAUCUAAAAUAUUUAUUUUUAUUUAUUUAGUUAAUCCUCACCCAUGGAUAUUUUUCCAUUGAUUUUAGAGAGAGUGGAAGACAGAAAUAUCGAUGUAAAAGAAACUCAUCGAUUGAUUGUGAGGAGCCUGCAACAGAGGCUAGCAAUAUGUGGUAUGAUAUUGACAGCUCCCAAGUCAAAUUGAGAUCUAGAUGACCUCUCUACUGAACUCCACACCAGCAUGUCUACCUGUCUGCCUAUUCAACAUCUCCACUUAAAUGUCCAACAGACUUUCAGAUUGCAACUCAGGAGGCUCCAACAGCAACUAAGUGCUUUGGGAUCAUUCGCACAAAGAUUAAGAGGC